rnacentral:rRNA from 1 species
AGCCCAGAGCCUGAAUCAGUGUGUGUGUUAGUGGAAGCGUCUGGAAAGGCGCGCGAUACAGGGUGACAGCCCCGUACACAAAAAUGCACAUACUGUGAGCUCGAUGAGUAGGGCGGGACACGUGGUAUCCUGUCUGAAUAUGGGGGGACCAUCCUCCAAGGCUAAAUACUCCUGACUGACCGAUAGUGAACCAGUACCGUGAGGGAAAGGCGAAAAGAACCCCGGCGAGGGGAGUGAAAAAGAACCUGAAACCGUGUACGUACAAGCAGUGGGAGCCUCUUAAUGGGGUGACUGCGUACCUUUUGUAUAAUGGGUCAGCGACUUAUAUUCUGUAGCAAGGUUAACCGAAUAGGGGAGCCGAAGGGAAACCGAGUCUUAACUGGGCGUUAAGUUGCAGGGUAUAGACCCGAAACCCGGUGAUCUAGCCAUGGGCAGGUUGAAGGUUGGGUAACACUAACUGGAGGACCGAACCGACUAAUGUUGAAAAAUUAGCGGAUGACUUGUGGCUGGGGGUGAAAGGCCAAUCAAACCGGGAGAUAGCUGGUUCUCCCCGAAAGCUAUUUAGGUAGCGCCUCGUGAAUUCAUCUCCGGGGGUAGAGCACUGUUUCGGCAAGGGGGUCAUCCCGACUUACCAACCCGAUGCAAACUGCGAAUACCGGAGAAUGUUAUCACGGGAGACACACGGCGGGUGCUAACGUCCGUCGUGAAGAGGGAAACAACCCAGACCGCCAGCUAAGGUCCCAAAGUCAUGGUUAAGUGGGAAACGAUGUGGGAAGGCCCAGACAGCCAGGAUGUUGGCUUAGAAGCAGCCAUCAUUUAAAGAAAGCGUAAUAGCUCACUGGUCGAGUCGGCCUGCGCGGAAGAUGUAACGGGGCUAAACCAUGCACCGAAGCUGCGGCAGCGACGUUUAUGCGUUGUUGGGUAGGGGAGCGUUCUGUAAGCCUGUGAAGGUGUACUGUGAGGUAUGCUGGAGGUAUCAGAAGUGCGAAUGCUGACAUAAGUAACGAUAAAGCGGGUGAAAAGCCCGCUCGCCGGAAGACCAAGGGUUCCUGUCCAACGUUAAUCGGGGCAGGGUGAGUCGACCCCUAAGGCGAGGCCGAAAGGCGUAGUCGAUGGGAAACAGGUUAAUAUUCCUGUACUUGGUGUUACUGCGAAGGGGGGACGGAGAAGGCUAUGUUGGCCGGGCGACGGUUGUCCCGGUUUAAGCGUGUAGGCUGGUUUUCCAGGCAAAUCCGGAAAA